AUUGAACGCUGGCGGCAGGCCUAACACAUGCAAGUCGAGCGGAUGAGUGGAGCUUGCUCCAUGAUUCAGCGGCGGACGGGUGAGUAAUGCCUAGGAAUCUGCCUGGUAGUGGGGGACAACGUUUCGAAAGGAACGCUAAUACCGCAUACGUCCUACGGGAGAAAGCAGGGGACCUUCGGGCCUUGCGCUAUCAGAUGAGCCUAGGUCGGAUUAGCUAGUAGGUGAGGUAAUGGCUCACCUAGGCGACGAUCCGUAACUGGUCUGACGAGGAUGAUCAGUCACACUGGAACUGAGACACGGUCCAGG
rnacentral:rRNA from 1 species